GCGCCCACUCGCCGGCGCGGGGUCCGGGAGCGAUGACAUCGACGGGGAAGGACGGCGGCGGGGCGCAGCACGCGCAGUAUGUGGGGCCCUACCGGCUGGAGAAGACGCUGGGCAAGGGGCAGACAGGUCUUGUGAAGCUGGGGAUUCACUGUGUCACCUGCCAGAAGGUUGCCAUCAAAAUCGUCAACCGUGAGAAGCUCAGUGAGUCGGUGCUGAUGAAGGUGGAGCGGGAGAUCGCCAUCCUGAAGCUCAUCGAGCACCCACACGUCCUGAAGCUGCAUGACGUCUACGAAAACAAAAAAUAUUUGUAUCUGGUGCUAGAACACGUGUCUGGGGGGGAGCUCUUUGACUACCUGGUGAAGAAGGGCCGGCUGACCCCCAAGGAGGCCCGCAAGUUCUUCCGACAGAUUAUCUCAGCACUGGACUUCUGCCACAGCCACUCCAUAUGUCACAGGGACCUGAAACCUGAAAACUUGCUGUUGGAUGAGAAAAAUAACAUCCGCAUAGCCGACUUUGGGAUGGCAUCCCUGCAGGUGGGCGACAGCCUGCUGGAAACCAGCUGUGGAUCCCCCCACUACGCUUGCCCGGAAGUGAUCCGGGGGGAGAAAUACGACGGCCGCAAGGCGGAUGUGUGGAGCUGUGGUGUGAUCCUGUUCGCCUUGCUGGUGGGGGCGCUGCCCUUCGAUGAUGACAACCUGCGGCAGUUGCUGGAGAAGGUCAAGCGGGGUGUGUUCCACAUGCCACACUUUAUCCCACCCGACUGCCAGAGCCUGCUGCGUGGCAUGAUCGAGGUGGACGCUGCACGCCGCCUCACGCUAGAGCACAUUCAGAAACACAUAUGGUAUAUAGGUGGCAAGAAUGAACCAGAGCCAGAGCAGCCCAUCCCCCGCAAGGUACAGAUCCGCUCACUGCCCAGCCUCGAGGAUAUCGACCCGGAUGUGCUGGACAGCAUGCACUCAUUGGGCUGCUUCCGAGACCGCAACAAGUUGCUACAGGACCUAUUGUCUGAGGAGGAGAACCAGGAAAAGAUGAUUUACUUCCUCCUUUUGGACCGGAAAGAAAGGUACCCCAGCCACGAAGAUGAGGACCUGCCCCCUAGGAAUGAAAUAGACCCUCCUCGGAAGCGUGUGGACUCCCCAAUGCUGAACCGGCAUGGAAAGAGGCGGCCUGAGCGCAAGUCCAUGGAGGUGCUCAGUGUGACGGAUGGUGGCUCCCCAGUACCCGCGCGGCGCGCCAUUGAGAUGGCCCAGCAUGGCCAGAGUAAAGCAGUGUUCAGUAAAAGCCUGGAUAUCGCUGAAGCCCAUCCCCAAUUCAGCAAAGAAGACAGGUCUCGGUCCAUCAGUGGCGCCUCCUCAGGCCUUUCCACAAGUCCACUCAGCAGUCCCAGGGUGACCCCUCACCCCUCACCAAGGGGUAGUCCCCUUCCUACCCCCAAGGGAACGCCUGUCCACACGCCAAAGGAGAGUCCGGCUGGCACACCCAACCCCACGCCACCGUCCAGCCCCAGCGUUGGAGGGGUGCCCUGGCGGACACGGCUCAACUCCAUCAAGAACAGCUUCCUUGGCUCCCCUCGCUUCCACCGCCGGAAACUGCAAGUUCCCACACCGGAGGAGAUGUCCAACCUGACCCCGGAGUCCUCUCCUGAGCUGGCCAAGAAAUCCUGGUUCGGGAACUUCCUCAACCUUGAGAAGGAGGAGCAGAUCUUUGUGGUGAUCAAAGAUAAGCCCCUGAGCUCCAUCAAGGCCGACAUCGUGCAUGCUUUCCUAUCGAUCCCCAGCCUCAGCCACAGUGUCAUCUCACAGACGAGUUUCAGGGCCGAAUACAAGGCAACAGGGGGCCCGGCUGUGUUCCAGAAGCCAGUCAAGUUCCAGGUAGACAUCACCUACACUGAGGGUGGUGAAGCUCAGAAGGAGAAUGGCAUCUACUCCGUCACGUUCACCCUUCUCUCAGGCCCAAGCCGGCGCUUCAAGAGGGUGGUGGAGACCAUCCAGGCCCAGCUGCUGAGUACCCAUGACCAGCCCUCAGCCCAGCACCUGUCAGAACCCCCCCCGCCAGCGCCAGGACUAAGCUGGGGUGCUGGGCUUAAGGGCCAGAAGGUGGCCACCAGCUACGAGAGUAGCCUCUGACGCUGGCAGACACCACUAACUGUAUGGAAGUGAUGACGGGGCGGCUUUCCAAAUGUGGAAUUAUCCCGAAAAAUUAACAUGUCACCUCCACGAGGCCAUCCUCUGUGCUCCGUGUGGACACUGGCUGAGCGAAGGCAGCUGCUGCGGACCACCCUCCCUCCUCCUGCUGCUGCCGGGUGGAGAGGCCAGCCCGUUGUCCAUCACCUCUGCCCAACCCCUGGCAGCUCCGCAUGGCCCAUGGAGGAGGGCUCGGCUCCCAGGGGACGCCUCCUCCAGCCCAGCAGCCCUGGACAUCCAGAGACCAGACCCUCAGCAGGAACAACCUGCCUACUGCCUUGCCAGGGUAGAGGACCUCAUGGUGGGAGAAGCAGUGGGAAUGGACCGUCUGUCCGCCUCUAUGCCGCUCCUGGAGGCCUCCUGGGCCACCUCACCUCCGCACCUAGGCCUCACUGGGGCCGCCUUUCUCUUCCACAUCCACCCCUCUACUCGGCUGGGCUGUGGGCACUCCCAGCUGCGCCAUCCUUCCUGGCUGAGGUGGAAACAGAGACUCUGGGCACCCAGGCUGUGGGGGCUGGGCUGAGACCAGUAUUAUUUAUUUGCUGUUUUAAUUUAUUGAGUUUCUUUAUUUCUCUGUUCAGGGAAGGGGCAGCAGCAGCAGCACCCUCCUGCCGUCUGUCUGUCUGUCUGUCUGUCUUAUCUGUUCUGUCUGUCUGACUCUGGCAGGGUGGGUCCAGAGCCCAGCUUCCCUGAGGACAAAGCCGUUGGGGGACUGGGGGCGGCGGGGAGCUGGCUGGUGGAUACAGCUCUGGCAAGCUACUGUAAACUUUAAAGAAUUCCUGCAAGAUAUUUUUAUAAACUUUU